GUAUCUCGAACUGGGUCCUCCUGAACACCUCGCGCGCAAACUAACCACUCAGCCACCGUCCCCUCAUACUGCCUCUCUCAUGUCUACUAAUUCUUUCUCUUUGCAGUUGAAAAUAAGGAUGACAUUGCAAUCCAUGAGUUACCAGUAAAUUCACUAUAGUCAUUUCCAUUACAUAUACUUACCCAGACUUAAAUUUCUUGUACCCCUCAAAUGAUAACAUAAAAACACAUAUAUAAAACAGAAUACUUUAUUAUGUCCGGGAUUAUGCUGGCAGACACCUCAUUCUUAGUCUUCCUUUCACUUUUAGAAUCAUCGUAAAACUCAUUAUAAUGUUUUAACAAUAAUAUAACAUGUGCUUAGAGGUUACUGGAGGCUUGCUUGUUUUCAUAUUUCUGCACGCUUGUCUAUUUUUUUCAUUCUUUCAGUAUGAUCAACGUGUAUUAACUUUUAACAUUCAUACUAAAAACUUCUCAUUCAUGGUUUCUGUAUUUUUUUUUCUCUAUUUCUCUUCUCUUUCUCUUCUCAUAUUUCUUUCAUUUUCACCGUAUUCUCAUCUUUCUUUCAGUAUGACAAAGGCACUAAAUGAUCGGUCUCAUACUGACAUUUCUCUUCUCAUUUCCUUUAUUUCUUUUCUAUUUCUCUUCUCAUUUUCUUUCAUCGCAUUAAUUCAUGUCUUUCGUCCAGUAUGACAAACGCACUUACCAAUCAAUCUCAUACUAACAUAUUAACCUCUUGUACAAUUAUAAUUUCUUCACAUUUUCCUAGUUAUCUAAAUCUUUCAGUAUGAUCAAACACACUUAUGCUCUUCAUGCUAAGUUACUAUGACUAUUUUUGUACAUUUUCAUACUUAUUUCAUUUUCUCAGUAUGAUCAAACAUACUUAUUCUCCUCACACUAAGUCACUACAAUCAAGAAACAUGCAGUCAUUCUUAAAAUAUCAUAAACACACUUUUACCAGAAUUUUAAAACACAUGUACGAUUCUCAUUUCUGCACAUUUUCAUACUUGUUUCAUUUUCUCAGUAUGACCAAACACACUAAUUCUCUUCACACUAAGUUACUACAAUCAAGAAACAUUCAUUCAUUCUUUGCAUAUCAUAAACACACUUUUGUCAGAAUUUUUAAACACUUGUACAAUUCUCAUUUCUGCACAUUUUCAUACUUGUUUCAUUUUCUCAGUAUGACCAAACACACUAAUUCUCUUCACACUAAGUUACUACAAUCAAGAAACAUUCAUUCAUUCUUUGCAUAUCAUAAACACACUUUUGUCAGAAUUUUUAAACACUUGUACAAUUCUCAUUUCUGCACAUUUUCAUACUUGUUUCAUUUUCUCAGUAUGACCAAACACACUAAUUCUCUUCACACUAAGUUACUACAAUCAAGAAACAUUCAGUCAUUCUUAAAAUAUCAUAAACACACUUUUGUCAAAAAUUUCAAACAUGGUAUCAGUAUAUAUUUACUAAGUUAUGUGGUUGGUUGGAUUUUCUGUAAUUUCCUUUUUCUUUCAUAUUUCACUCAUAUUUAUGCAUACUUUCCAUUCCUUUAGUAUAACAAACACAUUAUUCUAAUAUUCAAAUCCUGUAUAUCACACUUAAUUUUUACAUACUUUCCUUCUUUUCACUCUCUCAGUAUGAUAAACACAUCAUUCUAACACUCAAAUCCUGUAUCACACUUAAUUUCUACACACUUUCCUUCUUUUCACUCUUUCAGUAUGAUAAACACAUAUUAAUUUUAUAUAAACAACAAAGUCCUCAUGUAUCAAUCAUGAUUCUACAUAUUUUUCUCAUUUUUUCAUCUUUUUAGUAUGAUAGAACACACUUAAUCAUUUCAUGCUAAUAAGGCACACUUCAAUAAUUCAUUCAGCAAUAAUAAAACAUCUAUUUCACACUAGUAUUUAAAAAGUCUGUCUCUCCUUCAUAUUUCUUCACACUUUCCCUUCUUUCAGUUUUUUAGUAAGUCGCAAACUUCUCAAUUCACACUCAUAUAACAAAGAUAUUAGGAGCAAACAUACUAGUAACAUUUCUCACUAACUUCACACUGAUAGUCUAAAGCAUUCCGUCAUUCUUAUUUCUGCAUUUUCCUUUAGUUUUCCCUCAUAUUUUAAUUUUUCUUCCAUUUUCUCAGUAUUUCAAAACACACAUUGUUAUUCACUGCACACUUCUUCCUCUCUUCUUCAUCUAACAUCAUUAUUUUCCUUUAUGGGUUGACCGGGGCGUGGUCCAUGUUUCUAAGGGUCUCAGGCUUCCAUUACAACUUAUUUUCCAAGGUCACAGUGAAGAUUAACUGGGUUUUCAUGGGUGACUUUUCCAUUCGAGAUUCAGAAGUCAUGUAAAACUAUCACCAGGGUCACAAAACAGUCCAUGAAAAGCCCAGCAACUUUUAUGAGAGUCCCCCAUUACGACUGUUUUGCAAGGCCACAGAGAAAAUCAACAGGGUUUUCAUGGGUAACUCUCCUGUUCAAGAUUCAGAAGUCGUGUAAAACUAUCACCAGGGUCACAAAACAGUCCAUGAAAAGCCCAGCAACUUUUAUGAGAGUCCCCCAUUACGACUGUUUUCCAAGGCCACAGAGAAGAUUAACCAGGUUUUCAUGGGUGACUUUUCCAUUCGAGAUUCAGAAGUCGUGUAAAACUAUCACCAGGGUCACAAAAGUUAACAGUCCAUGAAAAGCCCAGCAACUUUUAUGAGAGUCCCCCAUUACGACUGUUUUGCAAGGCCACAGAGAAAAUCAACAGGGUUUUCAUGGGUGACUUUUCCAUUCGAGAUUCAGAAGUCAUGUAAAACUAUCACCAGGGUCACAAAACAGCCCAUGAAAAGCCCAGCAACUUUUACGAGAGUCCCCCAUUACGACUGUUUUGCAAGGCCACAGAGAAAAUCAACAGGGUUUUCAUGGGUAACUCUCCUGUUCAAGAUUCAGAAGUCGUGUAAAACUAUCACCAGGGUCACAAAACAGUCCAAGAAAAUCCGAGCAUCUUCCACGAUAGGCUUUUCAAACUGGCGAACUGUCCCACUCACUCUUAACAAUCACAUACUCUCUCCUCGUUCUUGUUCGUCCCUCUCAUAUCUCGCUACACACGGACGCCAGGGCUUCCUCGGACAUCCAGCCGGUCACCUCACUUCAUACCUCCCGACAUGCUCGUAACACCUCAAUCUUUCCCUCGUCGCCACACUCAUGUCCAGCACAUUUCAUCACCUCAUACAAAACCCUGCCUCACAUAUCCCAGCAUACCCCAGUCACCUCAUACUGGCAGACACAUAGCCUUCACAUAAGCACCAGUCAGCAGGCUAUAUUUGUAACUGUAUUCUCUAUGCCUUAAAAAACUAUAUAUUUCUCCAUUAAAAUUCUUCUGUGAGAUUGAGGGAAAGGUCAUAAAAAUAUCUAUAAUCAUGUUGUAGGUUAUAGAGAUUGACUUAAAGGGUUACAUAUGAAGGGAAAGGAAGGGAAAGGGAUAGAUAAGGAGGGGAAAGGAAGGGAAAGGAAGGGAGAGGAAGGGAGAGGAAGGGAAAGGAAGGGAAAGGAAGGGAAAGGAAGGGAAAGGAAGGGAAAGGAAGGGAGAGGAAGGGAAAGGAAGAGAAAGGAAGGGAAAGGAAGGAAGAGGAAGGGAGAGGAAGGGAAAGGAAAGGAGAGGAAGAGAAAGGAAGGAAA